rnacentral:misc_RNA from 1 species
AAGUCGUAACAAGGUUUCCGUAGGUGAACCUGCGGAAGGAUCAUUGCCACACACGAUCCAAGAUCGACACAAUAUGUGAACUGUCGAACCGAUAUUGAUUCUGAGUUCUUUCGGGAGCUUGGGGUUGGUAUUGGUUCACCCCUAACACUUUUAAACAAACAUGAACAAUGCAUAGGAACUAAAUGUUAUGUUGAGUUUGUCUUGACAUGACGACUAGAUUAUAAAUUGUAAAACAACUUUUAACAAUGGAUAUCUAGGCUCUU